rnacentral:rRNA from 1 species
AUUGAACGCUGGCGGCAGGCCUAACACAUGCAAGUCGAGCGAGCGGCGGACGGGUGAGUAAUGUAUGGGGACUGCCCGAUAGAGGGGGAUCACCACUGGACACGGUGGCUAAUACCGCAUACUAUCGGAUAACCCAUAUGGGAGUAGCUAGUAGGUGGGGUAAAGGCACACCUAGGCCACGAUCCCUAGCUGGUCUGAGAGGAUGAUCAGCCACACGGGAACUGAGACACGGUCCAGACUCCUACGGAGGCAGCAGUGGGGAAUAUUGCACAAUGGGCGCAAGCCUGAUGCAGCCAUGCCGCGUGUAUGAAGAAGGCCUUAGGGUUGUAAAGUACUUUCAGCGGGGAGGCGUUACCCGCAGAAGAAGCACCGGCUAACUCCGUGCCAGCAGCCGCGGUAAUAC